rnacentral:rRNA from 2 species
UAGUUGUGAAAUCCCUCGCUCAACUGAGGAACUGCAACUAAAACUGAUUUUCUUGAGUGCAGGAGAGGGAAAGCGGAUUCCUAGUGUAGCGGUGAAAUGCGUAGAUAUUAGGAGGAACACCAGUGGCGAAGGCGGCUUCUGGACUGUAACUGACGUUGAGGCACGAAAGUGUGGGGAGCAAACAGGAUUAGAUACCCGGUAGUCCACACUGUAAACGAUGGAUACUAGGUGUAGGGAACGAUAUGUUUUCUGUGCCGAAGCAAACGCAAUAAGUAUCCCACCUGGGGAGUACGGCCGCAAGGUUGAAACUCAAAGGAUUGACGGGGGCCCGCACAAGCAGUGGAGUAUGUGGUUUAAUUCGAAGCAACGCGAAGAACUUACCAGGGCUUGACAUAUACAGGAAUAAGUAAGAGAUUACUUAGCUCUUCGGAGCUUGUUACAGGUGGUGCAUGGUUGUCGUCAGCUCGUGUCGUGAGAUGUUGGGUUAAGUCCCGCAAGAGCGCAACCCCUAUUUUUAGUUGCCAGCACGUAAUGGUGGGAACUCUAGAAAGACUGCCGUGAGAAAUCGGAGGAAGGUGGGGACGACGUCAAAUCAUCAUGCCCUUUAUGUCCUGGGCACACACGUACUACAAUGGCCGUAACAGAAAGAAACGAAACAGUGAUGUGGAGUAAAACUUAAAAAGCGGUCUCAGUUCGGAUUGUAGGCUGAAAUUCGCCUACAUGAAGUUGGAAUUGCUGUAAUGGCAGGUCAGCAUACUGCCGUGAAUACGUUCCCGGGCCUUGUACACACCGCCCGU